rnacentral:rRNA from 1 species
UACGUAGGGUGCAAGCGUUGCUCGGAAUCAUUGGGCGUAAAGCGCGUGUAGGCGGUUUGUUAAGUCGAGUGUGAAAUCCCUGGGCUCAGCCGAGGAAGUGCAUUCGAAACUAACUGGCUAGAAGACGUAGAGGAAGGUGGAAUUCCAAGUGUAGAGGUGAAAUUCGUAGAUAUUUGGAGGAAUACCGGUGGCGAAGGCGGCCUUCUGGACCGAUCUUGACGCUGAGACGCGAAAGCGUGGGGAGCAAACAGG